GUGCUUGCUUCAGCAGCAUAAAUACUAACUUUGGAACAAUACAGAGAAGAUGAGCAUGGCCCCUGCGCCUGUAAAAAGUUUUAUUCCAGAGGAGGUUUAGUUUCCU
rnacentral:snRNA from 1 species